rnacentral:lncRNA from 1 species
CCACGUGGGAUCUGCCGUAGAGAGUGGAGCAGAGUCAUGGAGUGAUGGAGCUGCAUGGAGAUCUGCCGCAGGGAAUGGAGCAGAAUCACGGCUGCCACUGCAGCGCACCAGGGGGCGAAGGUCUGUCAGCUGAAGUCCGACUGGAGUGUCUGGCGAGGAGAGGUAGUUAGCCAUCUGUCCAAGAGGAGCUCGGAAUCUGGCUUUCGCAGG